CCUACGGGUGGCAGCAGUGGGGAAUAUUGGACAAUGGGGGGAACCCUGAUCCAGCGACGCCGCGUGAGCGAAGAAGUAUUCCGGUAUGUAAAGCCCUAUCAGCAGGGCAGAAAGAAAUGACGGUACCUGACUAAGAAGCCCCGGCUUACUACGGGCCAGCAGCCGCGGUAAUACGUAGGGGGCAAGCGUUCUCCGGAUUUACUGGGGGUAAAGGGAGCGUAGGCGGUUACGCAAGUCUGGAGUGAAAGGCAGGUGCCCAACCCCCGGACAGUUUUGGAAACUGUAUAACUGGAGUGCGGGAGAGGUAAGUGGAAUUCCUGGUGUAGCGGUGAAAUGCGUAGAUAUUAGGAGGAACACCGGUGGCGAAAGCGGCUUACUGGACUGUAACUGACGUUGAGGCUCGAAAGCGUGGGGAGCAAACGGGAUUAGAUACCCGGGUAGUC
rnacentral:rRNA from 1 species